rnacentral:rRNA from 1 species
AUGAACGCUGGCGGCGUGCCUAAUACAUGCAAGUCGAGCGAACGGACGAGAAGCUUGCUUCUCUGAUGUUAGCGGCGGACGGGUGAGUAACACGUGGAUAACCUACCUAUAAGACUGGGAUAACUUCGGGAAACCGGAGCUAAUACCGGAUAAUAUUUUGAACCGCAUGGUUCAAAAGUGAAAGACGGUCCUGCUGUCACUUAUAGAUGGAUCCGCGCUGCAUUAGCUAGUUGGUAAGGUAACGGCUUACCAAGGCAACGAUGCAUAGCCGACCUGAGAGGGUGAUCGGCCACACUGGAACUGAGACACGGUCCACACUCCUACGGGAGGCAGCAGUAGGGAAUCUUCCGCAAUGGGCGAAAGCCUGACGGAGCAACGCCGCGUGAGUGAUGAAGGUCUUCGGAUCGUAAAACUCUGUUAUUAGGGAAGAACAUAUGUGUAAGUAACUGUGCACAUCUUGACGGUACCUAAUCAGAAAGCCACGGCUAACUACGUG